UUAAUUGUUGGUACAGAAAUGGUGAUUUCUUUUCCAAUAUGGUAGUGGAUGCUGUACUUGCUGUUAAGUACACUGAUGCACGAGGCCAGCCUCGCUACCCGGUCAACUCUGUGAAUGUUCUGAAAGCCCACGGGAGGAGUCAGACGGAAAGCAUGCUGAUCAGCGGCUAUGCACUCAACUGUGUGGUGGGAUCUCAGGGCAUGCCCAAGAGAAUAGUUAAUGCAAAAAUUGCUUGCCUUGACUUCAGCCUG